rnacentral:rRNA from 1 species
GAAAGUAAAGAAGGGCGCAUGGCGGAUGCCUUGGCUCUCGGAGGCGAUGAAGGACGUGAUAAGCUGCGAUAAGCUUUGGGGAGGUGCAAAUGACCUUUGAUCCAGAGAUUUCCGAAUGGGACAACCCAAUAUCUUGAAGAGGUAUUAUCCAACGUUGUUGGAGGCUAACGCAGGGAACUGAAACAUCUUAGUACCUGCAGGAAAAGAAAAUAAACAAUGAUUCCCCCAGUAGUGGCGAGCGAACGGGGAACAGCCCAAACCAUCCAUGUUACGGCAUGGGUGGGGUUGUAGGACUACGCCGUUGCAUGAAGACAUCAGAGAAGAACUUUCUGGAAAGAAAGACCAUAGAGCAUGACAGUUGCGUAUUCGAAUGUUGUCGAAGCAUAGUAGUAUCCUGAGUAGCGCGGAGCACGAGGAAUUCUGCGUGAAUCUGCCGGGACCAUCCGGUAAGGCUAAAUACUCCCGAGAGACCGAUAGCGAACCAGUACUGUGAAGGAAAGGUGAAAAGCACUUCGAACAGAAGAGUGAAAUAGUCCCUGAAACCAUGCGCCUACAAGCGGUCGGAGCAUCUUACGAUGUGACGGCGUGCCUUUUGCAUAAUGAUCCUACGAGUUACCGUCACUGGCGAGGUUGAGUGUCAUGAGACACGUAGCCGCAGUGAAAGCGAGCCUGAAGAGGGCGCACAGUCAGUGGGGGUAGACGCGAAACCAAGUGAUCUACACUUGGCCAGGAUGAAGUCCCGGUAACACGGGAUGGAGGUCCGCACCAAUAAGCGUUGAAAAGCUUCUGGAUGAGCCGAGUGUAGGAGUGAAAGGCCAAUCAAACUUGGAGAUAGCUCGUACUCCCCGAAAGGCAUUUAGGUGCCGCGUCGGAUGGUCACCGUGAGAGGUAGAGCGACCGAUAGGACAAGAGGGCUUCACCGCCUAUCGAGUCCUGACGAACUCCGAAUGCUCACGGUCUGCAGUCCGGCAGUAAGGGGGCGGGUGCUAAGGUCCGUCCCCGAGAGGAGAAGAAUCCAGACCGCCGUCUAAGGUCCCGGAGUUCUGCCUGAGUUAGUCUAACGAAGUCUGGUCCCUAUGACAGCUAGGAUGUUGGCUUGGAAGCAGCCAUUCAUUCAAAGAGUGCGUAACAGCUCACUAGUCGAGGGUCCGGGCAUGGAUAAUAAUCGGGUAUAAGGCAGACACCGAAGGCGCGGGAUAGCAAUUAUAAAAGUAUCGGUAGGGGAGCAUACUCACAGCGUCGAAUGGUGUACGUAAGUUAUCCUGGAGCGGUGAGUAAAGCAAAUGUAGGAAUAAGUAACGAUAAGGAGGGUUAGAUUCCCUCCCGCUGUAAGACCAAGGUUUCCCGGGCAAUGCCAAUCAGCCCGGGGUCAGUCGGGUCCUAAGUCUAAGCCGAACGGCGAUGGCGAUGGCAGAGACGGUUAAUAUUCCGUCACUGCCGCAUGGGGCGACGUGGAGACGGAGCAGUGAAACCACCGCGGGGCGACGGAAGUCCCCGUUGAAGAGUGUAGGUGUUGAGGAUGGCAGGCAAAUCCACCAUCCGAGCUGAACUUGACAGUAUGGAGUCUUCUUCGGAAGAAUCCAAUAGUGUGGGUAAUCAUACUCCCGAGAAAAUCCGCUAAGCUUAACCCAUGCGGCACCCGUACCGCAAACGGACACACGUGGUCGGGUAGAACAUACUAAGGCGUUGAGAGAUUCAUGGUUAAGGAACUAGGCAAAUUGACCCUGUAACUUCGGGAUAAAGGGUCCUCGUGAUGAGCGAGGCGCAGAGAAUAGGUCCAGGCAACUGUUUAACAAAAACACAGGGCUGUGCAAACUCGAAAGAUGAGGUAUACAGCCUGACACCUGCCCGGUGCCGGAAGGUUAAGAGGAGAUGUCACCAGCAAUGGGAAGCAUUGAAUUGAAGCCCCGGUAAACGGCGGCCGUAACUAUAACGGUCCUAAGGUAGCGAAAUUCCUUGUCGGGU